CAAUGGGCGAAAGCCUGACGGAGCAAUACCGCGUGAGGGAGGAAGGCUCUUGGGUUGUAACCCUCUUUUCUCAAGGAAUAAGAAAUGAAGGUACUUGAGGAAUCAGAUCGGCUAACUCCGUGCCAGCAGCCGCGGUAAUACGGAGGAUGCAAGCGUUAUCCGGAAUGAUUGGGCGUAAAGCGUCCGCAGGGGCUGUGUAAGUCUGCUGUUAAAGAGCAAAGCUUAACUUUGUAAAAGCAGUGGAAACUACACGGCUAGAGUGCGUUAGGGGCAGAGGGAUUCCUGGUGUAGCGGUGAAAUGCGUAGAGAUCAGGAAGAACACCGGUGGCGAAGGCGCUCUGCUAGGCGC
rnacentral:rRNA from 1 species